CCUACGGGAGGCAGCAGUGGGGAAUAUUGCACAAUGGGGGAAACCCUGAUGCAGCGACGCCGCGUGAGUGAAGAAGGAUCUCGGUACGUAAAGCUCUAUCAGCAGGGAAGAAAAUGACGGUACCUGACUAAGAAGCCCCGGCUAACUACGUGCCAGCAGCCGCGGUAAUACGUAGGGGGCAAGCGUUAUCCGGAUUUACUGGGUGGAAAGGGAGCGUAGACGGCAGCACAAGUCUGGAGUGAAAUCCCGGGGCUUAACCCCGGAACUGCUUUGGAAAAGGUGCGGCUGGAGUGCAGGAGGGGUAAGCGGAAUUCCUAGUGGAGCGGUGAAAUGCGUAGAUAUUAGGAGGAACACCGGUGGCGAAGGCGGCUUACUGGACUGUAACUGACGUGGAGGCUCGAAAGCGUGGGGAGCAAACAGGAUUAGAUACCCUAGUAGUC
rnacentral:rRNA from 1 species